UAGUGGAUAUAUUUUUGUCCUUGAAGCGAUUCCUUACAAAAAAGAAUGCAAUCAAGUUGCAUUUCCUCAAUUUGUGCCUUAUUUUACUACCCAAUUUGCAAAUUCUAGAAAGAAAUUAGCUGUAAUUGUUCAUCCAAAUUGAUACCAAGUUGGCUAUAAUUGACCAGUAUCAAAUUUUAUAAAUAUACUACUACUCUUAUGUGUUAUCGCAAUAAGAUAAUCACGUGUGCCACGCUAUUCUUAGUUCUUACAUAGUACCCCUUCCAUUUUCCAUAUCUUUCAAAUAUCCUCUCUUUUCUCUCUCUAUCUCUCUGUUUUUUCCAUUGACCUUUACUACAGCACACUAGGCAGUUAAAAUUGUAAUGGCUGAGAUCAAGAAGAUGCCUACUGAGGAAGCGACUCGUGAAUCGCUCAUUGCGCUAUCUUACUCGUUACCUGAUAAGUCUCCUAACUCGCCUGAUUCUUCAGAGAAGAUGACUGAAGUUGAUAAUGGAGUAACUGAUCACAAGAAGAAUGGAAAUAGCGUGGACUAUUGGUCUGAUUUGAUUUCUUUGUCCUACACAUCACCAGAUGCUGUAAUGCAACCUGAAGUUAUAAGUUAGGGCUAAGAUCGUAUAUUAUAUAGUCUAAAUAUGUAAACAUUGUAUGCAUGGUUACUCUAACUACUAAACACUGUUUGGUUAAGCUUCAUAUGAUUUGACCAAAAAAAUAUGAAUACUAGUCUCGUUUUAUUGA